AGAGUUUGAUCCUGGCUCAGGACGAACGCUGGCGGCGCGCCUAACACAUGCAAGUCGAACGAGCGAGAGAGAGCUUGCUUUCUCGAGCGAGUGGCGAACGGGUGAGUAACGCGUGAGGAACCUGCCUCAAAGAGGGGGACAACAGUUGGAAACGACUGCUAAUACCGCAUAAGCCCACAGGUCGGCAUCGACCAGAGGGAAAAGGAGCAAUCCGCUUUGAGAUGGCCUCGCGUCCGAUUAGCUAGUUGGUGAGGUAACGGCCCACCAAGGCAACGAUCGGUAGCCGGACUGAGAGGUUGAACGGCCACAUUGGGACUGAGACACGGCCCAGACUCCUACGGGAGGCAGCAGUGGGGAAUAUUGCACAAUGGGGGAAACCCUGAUGCAGCGACGCCGCGUGGAGGAAGAAGGUCUUCGGAUUGUAAACUCCUGUUGUUGAGGAAGAUAAUGACGGUACUCAACAAGGAAGUGACGGCUAACUACGUGCCAGCAGCCGCGGUAAAACGUAGGGUGCAAGCGUUGUCCGGAAUUACUGGGUGUAAAGGGAGCGCAGGCGGACCGGCAAGUUGGAAGUGAAAACUAUGGGCUCAACCCAUAAAUUGCUUUCAAAACUGCUGGCCUUGAGUAGUGCAGGGGUAGGUGGAAUUCCCGGGGGUACGGUGGAAUGCGUAGAUAUCGGGAGGAACACCAGUGGCGAAGGCGACCUACUGGGCACCAACUGACGCUGAGGCUCGAAAGCAUGGGUAGCAAACAGGGAUUAGAUACCCUGGUAGUCCAUGCCGUAAACGAUGAUUACUAGGUGUGGGAGGAUUGACCCCUUCAGUGCCGCAGUUACCACAAUAAGUAAUCCACUUGGGGAGUACGACCGCAAGGUUGAAACUCAAAGGAAUUGACGGGGGCCGGCACAAGCAGUGGAGUAUGUGGUUUAAUUCGAAGCAACGCGAAGACCCUUACCAGGUCUUGACAUCCGAUGCAUAGUGCAGAGAUGCAUGAAGUCCUUCGGGACAUCGAGACAGGUGGUGCAUGGUUGUCGUCAGCUCGUGUCGUGAGAUGUUGGGUUAAGUCCCGCAACGAGCGCAACCCUUAUUGCCAGUUACUACGUUAAGAGGACUCUGGCGAGUCUGCCGUUGACAAAACGGAGGAAGGUGGGGAUGACGUCAAAUCAUCAUGCCCUUUAUGACCUGGGCUACACACGUACUACAAUGGCGUUAAACAAAGAGAAGCAAGACCGCGAGGUGGAGCAAAACUCAAAAACAACGUCUCAGUUCAGAUUGCAGGCUGCAACUCGCCUGCAUGAAGUCGGAAUUGCUAGUAAUCGCGGAUCAGCAUGCCGCGGUGAAUACGUUCCCGGGCCUUGCACACACCGCCCGUCA
rnacentral:rRNA from 1 species